GCUAUGAAAGCUAAAAAGAAGCAAUGGUCUUGUAAACCAAAGAAUGAGAGAAAUCUCUCAAAGCA
rnacentral:tRNA from 1 species